ensembl:lncRNA
AGGUUAUCCAGAUAUGAGACACUUCAUAAUAACUCUGAAUCAAUAUUAGUAAACAAUAAACAAGGCUGAAAACAAACAAUCAGUAGGACCAACAGCCUUCUUCAAGAGGAGGUUCAGGGCCAGUUUUAGGUCCAACAGCCUUCUUCAAGAGGAGGUUCAGGGCCAGUUUUAGGUCCAACAGUAGCCAGCAUCAAGAGGAGGUUCAUGGCCAGUUUUAGGACAAACAGCCUUCUUCAAGAGGAGGUUCAUGGCCAGUUUUAGGACCAACAGUAUCCUGCUUCAGGAGGAGGUUCAGGGCCAGUUUUAGGACCAACAGUAUCCUGCUUCAGGAGGUGGUUCAGGGCCAGUUUUAGGACCAGUAGGUCCAACAGUAUCCUGCUUCAGGAGGAGGUUCAGGGCCAGUUUUAGGACCAGUAGGUCCAACAGUAUCCUGCUUCAGGAGAUGGUUCAGGGCACCUUCUCAGUAGUAGUGGAGUGGAUCAGUUUCUGGGGGGGGCGUCUUAACAUGGCUCCUCUGGCUCUGUGGAGCUUGGCUGGUUACGGGUAGACCCCCAGACUGGGGCUCUGGGUGGUGAUAGGGGGCUGGAGAGGGGCGGAGGUGGCUGGGGCAAGCCCAGACUGGGGCUCUGGGUGGUGAUAGGGGGCUGGAAAGGGGCGGAGGUGGCUGGGGCAAGCCCAGACUGGGGCUCUGGGUGGUGAUAGGGGGCUGGAGAGGGGCGGAGGUGGCAAGCCCAGACUGGGGCUCUGGGUGGUGAUAGGGGGGCGGAGGUGGCUGGGGCAAGCCCAGACUGGGGCUCUGGGUGGUGGUAGGGGGGCUGGAGAGGGGCAGAGGUGGCUGGGGCAAGCCCGGGCUGUUUUUUUUUUGGGGGCCUUUGGAAGAGACAGUCUGUUUCUGCCUAUCAGGUGGAACCCUGUUCCCUACAUAGUGCAGUACUUCUGACCAGAGACCCAUAGAGUUAGUUCCCACACAAAGCCAGUUGAUGAAGUGGACCAAGGAGAUGACAACAUUGACAUUGUUCUGUGAUGUCAGGUCCAGGUGUGAAGGACCCCACAGGGCUCUGGUCACAAGUAGUG